GGCGCUGCCGCGAUCCUGAGCAUUGUACUGGGUUCUCUUGCCGGAGGACUGAUCGGCGGAGUCUGCGCAUGGUUAUUCGCAAGGAAAAUUGGCGGGGCGCAAGGCACAAUGCACAAGAUGGAAACUCCACUUACACGGGACUGGUUCUGGGGGAUCGAUCUGUUUACAGUGAUCUGAAGAG